rnacentral:piRNA from 1 species
UCCAGUCGGAGUGCUCUGAGAUCU